rnacentral:rRNA from 1 species
GAUGAACGCUGGCGGUAUGCCUUACACAUGCAAGUCGUACGAGAGUUUUUAACUCAAGUGGCGGACGGGUGAGUAACACGUAAGAAUUUGCCUUUAGGAGGGGGACAACAACUGGAAACGGUUGCUAAUACCCCAUAUGCUUUCGAGUGAAAUGGAUUUUUCCGCCUAAAGAGAAGCUUGCGGCUGAUUAGCUUGUUGGUGAGGUAAUGGCUCACCAAGGCGACGAUCAGUAUCUGGUUUGAGAGGACGAUCAGACACACUGGAACUGAGACACGGUCCAGACUCCUACGGGAGGCAGCAGUGGGGAAUUUUCCGCAAUGGGCGAAAGCCUGACGGAGCAAUACCGCGUGAGGGAUGACGGCCUAUGGGUUGUAAACCUCUUUUUUCAGGGAGGAAUCAAAUGACUUGUACCUGAAGAAUAAGCAUCGGCUAACUCCGUGCCAGCAGCCGCGGUAAGACGGAGGAUGCAAGUGUUAUCCGGAAUCACUGGGCGUAAAGCGUCCGUAGGUGGUCCAAUUAGUCAACUGUUAAAUCUUGAGGCUUAACCUCAAAAUCGCAGUCGAAACUAUUAGAC